CGUCCCGGCAUCAACGUAAACCCCGUGAACAGCAAGUUUUUCCCUAUAAAUGUGCUCACACAUAUCCUCCGUCUUUCACGAUCAAGCCAUUUUCACAGUUGCAUGUAGAAGCGCGAGCACCCCGAUAGAUCCCCACGCCAAUCUCCCUUUCUGCUCUUUUCUUUUUUGCCUCCGCUCAUCUUUUGUUUGAAUUCAUGCCUGUCUUUCCUUGUCCUCCAUUCAAUGGUAAUGGAUCAGGGUGACCAGGACGGUGCAGGUAGAGUACCCGAUACGUUGUCAAUGCCUCAGAGUCGUCAACAGAGCCAGAAGCUCAAAGUGUACUGUGAAGUUCUUCGUCGCCUCAAGAAUUCCAGCAACGACGAGGCUAUACAGCCUGACUUCGAUCAUCAACUUUGGGCUCACUUCAACCGCCUCCCAACACGAUAUGCGUUGGAUGUUAAUGUGGAAAGGGCGGCAGAUGUUCUCACGCACAAGAGAUUGCUGCGUUUGGCUCAUGACCCUGCUCAUAGGCCUGCAAUUGAAGUUCGCCUAGUCCAGAUUUAUCCCAUAUCUGAUGGAAAUUCCGCUGACUCCAUCCAUCCAGAUGUACCUAGGGAAGAAGCUUGUCAAACCUCUCCAAAUUACCCAAGGAGACUGAGUGUUCAUCCUCCUCCUGCUUUUGGUUCUUCUCCUAAUCUUGAAGCCCUGGCACUUGAAGCUGAUAAAUCUGAAGACGAGGAACACUCUGUGCAUGGCAGUGCUAAAUAUUCUCAGCCCAUGCAUGAAAUCACUUUCUCUACAGAUGACAAGCCAAAGCUUCUGAGUCAGUUGACUUCUUUGCUUGCUGAAGUUGGUUUAAACAUCAGAGAGGCACAUGCCUUUUCCACUACUGAUGGUUACUCACUAGACGUGUUUGUUGUUGAUGGAUGGCCCUAUGAGGAAACACAGCAGCUUAAAGAAGCUUUGGAAAAAGAAGUAAUGUUGAUUGAGAGGCACGCGUUUCCUAUUCAACAAUCAGAAUUUUAUGUUGCUAAGACUGAUCGAAUGGGAAUGAAAUGUGAAGAAGCUUAUUUGGUGAUACCAAACGAUGGGUCAGAUGUUUGGGAAAUAGAGCCUAAACAUUUGAAAUAUGGAAAUAAAAUUGCAUCUGGGUCAUUUGGUGAACUAUUUAGAGGUACAUAUUGUAGUCAAGAUGUGGCCAUUAAAGUUCUCAAGGCUGAGAAUUUAAGUUCAGAUUGGAAGAAGGAGUUUGCCCAGGAAGUUUAUAUCAUGAGAAAGGUUAGGCACAAGAAUGUUGUGCAAUUUAUUGGAGCAUGUACAAAGCCACCACACUUUUGCAUAAUAACAGAAUUUAUGUGUGGUGGAAGUGUGUAUGACUAUUUGCAUAAGCAGAAGGGCGUUUUCAAAUUUCCAACCCUGCUCAAAGUAGCGAUUGAUGUUUCCAAGGGAAUGAACUACUUGCACCAGAAUGAUAUUAUCCAUAGAGAUUUGAAGGCUGCUAAUCUCUUGAUGGAUGAAAAUCAUGUUGUCAAGGUUGCUGAUUUCGGUGUAGCUAGAGUGAAAGAUCAAUCCGGAGUUAUGACAGCAGAAACUGGCACAUACCGAUGGAUGGCACCUGAGGUUGUAGAACACAAACCAUACGAUCAAAAGGCUGAUGUGUUUAGUUUUGGAGUAGUUUUAUGGGAAUUGCUCACUGGAAAGCUUCCAUAUGAAUAUUUGACCCCACUACAGGCAGCAAUAGGAGUGGUUCAAAAGGGCCUACGACCCACGAUCCCCAAGAACACUCAUCCAAAAUUUAUUGAGCUUCUUGAGAGGUGUUGGCAGCAAGAUCCAACAUUAAGGCCUGAUUUCUCUGAAGUUAUUGAGAUCCUGCAGGAAUUAGCUAACGAGCAAGCUGGGAAUCAUGGAGAGGAGAAGCGAAGGGAGAGAUCUGCAGGAUUUUUUUCUGCCCUCAGACGAGGCCGAGGUCAUCACUGAAAAGUAGGAGAAUGGACGAUGUUCGUAGUGUAGAUUCUAUUCACUCUCUAGAUUGAGAUGUACAUUCUCUUGAGAUCAUGAUUUCUGAUGUUUAUACCAGUUGAACUGUUCCUUGAAUCAAACAUGCUGGAAGUGGAGCCAAGGUGUAUCCUUGACGCCGACAUACUUUUGCCUGAUGUGGCUAUUGGCCACCUUCCACAUGGCAGUUUCAUUCAGUACAUAGUUACUGGACUAGCAAAUUGCAAUUUAUGGGAUUUUCAUUCACACGCCUUUGGACGAAGACUGUACUAAUUAGUGGUUUGGCGACUGCUGUCUAGUGAGUAGGGUCUUGGAUCCCGUGCCAGCAUGCCUCUGAAACUUUGCGUGCAUUGGCCUAGCAAGUUGCAUCCACUCAACCACGUAAAGCAAAUAGGAUAACUAUCAUAUCGGCAGUAACAUGCAUUCAAGCAUCUCCCUUCCCUC